UCCCCGGGUUCCCCUCAGGGUUCCCGGGGGUGUCAGGGAGCCGAGCGCAGGGGUUGGCGCCGCCUUCUCACCUCAGUCUCUCCCUUUCCUUGCAGGCUCCAGCUGAAGGCGAGGCAAAGGAGGAGCCAAAGAGAAGGUCAGCUAGACUAUCCGCUAAACCUGCUCCGCCUAAACCGGAGCCAAAGCCCAAAAAGGCAGCACCUAAGAAGGAAAAGGCAGCAAAUGAUAA